rnacentral:rRNA from 1 species
UGGGGAAUAUUGGACAAUGGGCGCAAGCCUGAUCCAGCCAUGCCGCGUGUGUGGAGAAGGCCUUUUGGUUGUAAAGCACUUUAAGCGAGGAGGAGGCUACUUGGAUUAAUACUCUAGGAUAGUGGACGUUACUCGCAGAAUAAGCACCGGCUAACUCUGUGCCAGCAGCCGCGGUAAUACAGAGGGUGCGAGCGUUAAUCGGAUUUACUGGGCGUAAAGCGUGCGUAGGCGGCUUCUUAAGUCGGAUGUGAAAUCCCUGAGCUUAACUUAGGAAUUGCAUUCGAUACUGGGAAGCUAGAGUAUGGGAGAGGAUGGUAGAAUUCCAGGUGUAGCGGUGAAAUGCGUAGAGAUCUGGAGAAAUACCGAUGGCGAAGGCAGCCAUCUGGCCUAAUACUGACGCUGCGGUACGAAAGCAUGGGGAGCAAACAGG